GUGGAGCCUGCGGCUUAAUUUGACUCAACACGGGAAACCUCACCAGGCCCGGACACCAGAAGGAUUGACAGAUUAAGAGCUCUUUCUCGAUUUGGUGGGUGGUGGUGCAUGGCCGUUCUUAGUUGGUGGAGUGAUUUGUCUGGUUAAUUCCGGUAACGAACGAGACUCUGGCCUACUAAAUAGUCGACGGGCGUUUUGGUGCAUGGGCCCCGUUCGACACAGUCUUCUUAGAGGGAUGAGCAGCGAGUAUAGCUGCAGGAGAUUGAGCAAUAACAGGUCUGUGAUGCCCUUAGAUGUCCUGGGCCGCACGCGCGCUACACUGAAUGGGUUAGCGGGUUGUCCUUCUCCGAGAGGAGCGGGAAAUCGCUUGAAAACCAUUCGUGAUAGGGAUUGGGGCUUGCAAUUGUUUCCCAUGAACGAGGAAUUCCCAGUAAGCGCAAGUCAUCAGCUUGCGUUGAUUAAGUCCCUGCCCUUUGUACACACCGCCCGUCGCUACUACCGAUUGAAUGAUUUAGUGAGGCCUUCGGACUGGCGGUCUUGGACUGGGGCGCCGGCGUUCCAGCAAUGGGCGCCGGCGACCCGCCUAGACGGGCCGGAAAGAUGUCCAAACUUGAUCAUUUAGAGGAAGUAAAAGUCGUAACAAGGUUUCC
rnacentral:rRNA from 1 species